GCAUGCCUGGUGUAGUGGCUAACGCACUAGGCCGCCGUGCUGAAGGUCGUGGGUUCAAACCCCCGUUGCAUCUA